UUUGAAAACCACAACUUCUUAAAACUAAAACCAUCUCUACGCCCAUACAAAGUCAAAACCACAAAAUUUUCAAACCAAAAGCAACAGCAAAAGCACAAGUUCUUGUCCAAAAGAUGAAGAAAGCCAAAACUACCUCAACACCCAUACAAUCUCUUCCCAACGAACUUCUUCUCCAAAAACUGAUAAAGGUUGCGUCCCGGUACCUGUUUUCAGCAGAGAUGGUGUGCAAGAAGUUCAACCAAAUCGUUCAAGACGACCACUUAUUCGAACACGUCAACAUUAGGGAAUUUGAAGGCUUCAACCCCCUUACUUCAUGGACCAAUAAGGAAGAUGUCUCCAAGUUCUUGAAAUGGUGUAGGGAGUGCGGCAAUUCCUACGUCUUGUACAUGCUAGGGAUGACAUACUUCUUCCAAGACAAUAAGAAAGAAGUCAGAAUUGAGGCUAUGAAGAUGGCGAUCUCAAAGGAUCAUGAAGUAGCAACAUACGUCUACGAUUUCAUCUUGUUGUCAUCUUGGUGCUUACGUUAACAAAUAAGUAAAAAAGGUAAAGUUUAUUGUUCUAGAAAACCCUCUUUCUUGCUGCUUUCUUCUUCAACCGAGGGAGAUGAAGAGGUUCCUCUCUUUUAGCUCUUGCCAAAAUUUUAGGAGGAGGAACUUAGUUUUCUUUUCCUUUGCUUGUGAAGAUUUGGACUAGUAAGAUUCCUUCCUUCGUCUCCAUUAGAGAUAUGGAAGAGAAGGAUAUCAGGUGACUACGGAGCAGGUCGACAAACACCGUGGGAGUUGAACAUCAACAAAUUUUGUUGAGGUGGUGUAAGGUUGACUACCUGAGUUUUGAGUUGCAGCUCUAUUGUGGACUAGUAGAAAGGAGUCCUAACGUAUAUAUCUUUUGGGUGAGCUGCGAAAGUAUUUUGUCUAGUUAGUCUUAGUCUGUAAAUGACCCUUUUGUAGCAUUGUAAAUUAAGAUGACAUGGGCCACAAUGAGUCUCCACUUACCAGGGCAAUGUGAACCAUGUAACAUUUGAUCACUUGUCUUUUGACAUUCAUAAUUUCUGCUCAUGUUUAUUUUCAUCAAAUGACCUGAACAUGUUUAUCGUGUAAGAAGCCUUGAAGUUUCUUUGGUGAACUCGUUAAAAUCUGUGAGGCUUGAUCUGUUACAUUUUGAGAACCAUUAUGAAAUUUGGUUA